UUUCUAAAUAAUCAACAGGUUCGAUUGCGUGAUGUCCUCCACAGUGAUACAAAGUUUACCCUAGUAUUUGAGCACUGUGACCAGGAUUUGAAGAAAUACUUUGAUAGACAGUGAGCAAGUCCAAUCACUGAUGUAUCAACUUUUAAGAGGUCUUGCAUUCUGCCACAGUAAAAGUGUUUUGCACAGAGAUCUCAAACCUCAAAACUUGUUGAUUAAUAAGAGACACUUGUAAAGAACUGUGAUUUGCAUCACCAGAUGAGCCUCUUGUUUUCUCAAAGUUUUCUAAUUCAAUCACUGGACCCUUUUGACUCAAUAAAGAAUCCUGACAUUUCAAAGGUUGAACUGUACACAAAUUUUCAUGUCUGCACUCAGUCUUUCAAGAAUUUUUAAUAAUUUAAGUGUUUCUAUUUACUUUGACAGGAGGUAUUUUGGGAAGCCGAACUGGCCGUUGUUUUGGGGAAAAAAGGAAAGAAUAUUGAAUUUAGUUAAGCAAAAGAUUACGUUUUCGGCUACACAGUUGCGAACGACUUGACUGCACUCGACUGGCACAAGGAAAAAAAAACGGUGGUCGGUGGCUACUCGGGAAAACAAUGGAUGGCUUCUGUCCCAUAGGGCCAGACAUCCUUACAGCUGACAAAGUUCCCGACCCACAUAACUUGAAAAUUUCAUGUAGCGUCAAUGGCCAUAUCAAACAAACAAGCAACACCAAUCAGCUCAUUCACGGAGUCUUUGACUGCAUAUCCUUUUUGUCAAAUUAUGUAACAUUAUUAACAUGAUGUCACCAAUCUCAUGUUAAUAUGUUGACAACCACCAGGUUUUGCACACUGCUUCCUGGUGAUAUAAUUUUAACUGGAACACUCAGGAUCUGGUGGAUUUGCUAAAACCUUCACAAUUCUUACAGGAAGGAGACGUCGUGGAAUGCGAAAUUGAACAAUUAGGAAAGAUCCGAAACCAGAUUGAAUAGUUGUCAUCCCGCAUUGAUUAGUAUCCAAUACAACAAGAAACUUCAAA